rnacentral:rRNA from 1 species
GAUGAACGCUGGCGGCGUGCCUAAUACAUGCAAGUCGAGCGAACAGACGAGGAGCUUGCUCCUCUGACGUUAGCGGCGGACGGGUGAGUAACACGUGGAUAACCUACCUAUAAGACUGGGAUAACUUCGGGAAACCGGAGCUAAUACCGGAUAAUAUCUUGAACCGCAUGGUUCAAUAGUGAAAGACGGUUUUGCUGUCACUUAUAGAUGGAUCCGCGCCGCAUUAGCUAGUUGGUAAGGUAACGGCUUACCAAGGCAACGAUGCGUAGCCGACCUGAGAGAGUGAUCGGCCACACUGGAACUGAGACAGGGACCAGACUCCUACGGGAGGCAGCAGUAGGGAAUCUUACGCAAUGGGCGAAAGCCUGACGGAGCAACGCGGCGUGAGUGAUGAAGGUCUUCGGAUCGUAAAACUCUGUUAUUAGGGAAGAACAAAUGUGUAAGUAACUAUGCACGUAUUGACGGUACCUAAUCAGAAAGCAACGGCUAACUACGUG